CCUACGGGUGGCAGCAGUGAGGAAUAUUGGUCAAUGGACGGGAGUCUGAACCAGCCAUGCCGCGUGAAGGACGACUGCUCUAUGGGUUGUAAACUCCUUUUGUACCGGGGUAAAACGAGUAACGUGUGCCUUUUUGCAUGUACGGUACGAAUAAGGAUCGGCUAACUCCGUGCCAGCAGCCGCGGUAAUACGGAGGAUCCGAGCGUUAUCCGGAUUUAUUGGGUUUAAAGGGAGCGUAGAUUGGUUGUUAAGUUAGUGGUGAAAGUGCGCGGCUCAACCGUGGCAUUGCAAUUGAUACUGGCAGUCUUGAGUGCAGUUGAGGUAGGCGGAAUGCGUGGUGUAGCGGUGAAAUGCGUAGAUAUUAGGAAGAACACCGAUUGCGAAGGCAGCUUACUAGGCUGUGACUGACACUGAUGCUCGAAAGCGUGGGGAUCAAACAGGAUUAGAUACCCGGGUAGUC
rnacentral:rRNA from 1 species